ensembl:lncRNA
GAUGAGAGAGAGGAGGACAACAAGAAUAAGAGGACUCCAAUGUCACCAGCUCUGAGCCCAGCUGCCAGCUCCACCAGCCCUGCUGGCUUGACCGCUGGUGAGUAGCAGCGCCCUGGGGAAGGUGCCCUGGGCAAAGCCAUUGUCUGCCUGCUGCUGGCAGGAGCAGCUCCACACUUCCUUCCUGCUGAGAGAAGCUGAAAGUGUCACUGGAAUACAUGGAGGACCAGGCCUGGACUGUGGCUCUGAGCCAGCAGCUCAGCGAGCAGCUUGGCACCUGUCCUCACAGCUCCUGGGAGAAUGUUGGCUCCCUGCUUGGCUCUUCCCUGAUUGCAGAGCCAUGGUGCACCCAGCUCCAUGGCUGGGACUGGAGGCACUCUUCUGCCCAUGAUGGCUCUUGUCACCGCUUCCCCUUCUUUUGCCACCAAAAGGCUCUUCCCUCCAUGCAGCUCAGAGGCUGGCUACAACCCAGCACUGUGGCCGGCCUCAGCUGCUCCCUGGGGUGCUAGGGUCCAUCUUGGCCUGUCCUCCUGACACAUCGGGCCAUUACCACAUCUCGGGCUCAGCCUCCUUUCUUUCAGCUCUUCUUGUACAAUGCUCUUCGGUCAGUGCUGGCAGCUUGUCAGGGCUCAGCCAUGUCCAAGAGCAGCUUCACAGAUAUCUCCAGGGAACAAACCAUGUGGAGCUGUUUGAGGCCCAGCGAAUGAUUUUGGUUGUGUCCUUCACUGCUGAGAGCCACUUCCACCUGACCUUGGACACAGUGACAAUGUUUGCUGCCAUGCUGACCAGAGGCAGGUUUUCAGAGACAUCUGGAGACUGGAAGAGGUACAAUGGCAGCAGAAGAAGGAGGAAGCCCAGGCUGCUCACAUUGCUGUCAUGCUCACCUACAGUGACACUGCACUGCAUGCCCCAGGAAGCAUCUUCUGGGCUGUGUGGAUGCAGACAUCUUGGGCAAGAUCCUGCUGUUUUCUAGAGCCAGCCAACAGGACUCUCAGCUAAAGCUUGCCUUGGUGCAGAGUAUCACUGAGGUCAGCUGCUCCAUCCAGGCUGUGGGUGAUUGCCCCAGCUUUGGACUCUUCUCAAAGCAGGAGGCCCUGAGGACACUGCUGGGCUGGGUAAAAGAGGAGCCCUGGGAUGUGG